GAUCAUGGCUCAGGAUGAACGCUAGCUACAGGCUUAACACAUGCAAGUCGAGGGGCAGCAUGGUCUUAGCUUGCUAAGGCUGAUGGCGACCGGCGCACGGGUGAGUAACACGUAUCCAACCUGCCGUCUACUCUUGGCCAGCCUUCUGAAAGGAAGAUUAAUCCAGGAUGGGAUCAUGAGUUCACAUGUCCGCAUGAUUAAAGGUAUUUUCCGGUAGACUAUGGGGGUG
rnacentral:rRNA from 1 species